UGAGUCUUCUCGCUAUAAAUGAUAGCAAGAAAAAAUAUGGAAAUUCAUGGCAUAUUUUACAGGAAGGAUUCAGAAUUGGUUGUUCCCGAUGUAAAUUCUCUGAUGUUGAACAAGAGAUGAUUUCCGAGUAAAACAUUUGCCACAUUCUGAACACGAAAACGGCUUCUCUCCUGUGUGAUGUCUUUGAUGUUGAAGAAGGCCUGAUUUCCAAGUAAAACAUUUGCCACAUUCUGAGCAUGAAUACGGCUUUUUCUGAGCUCUUUGGG